GACGAACGCUGGCGGCGUGCUUAACACAUGCAAGUCGAACGGUAAGGCCCUGUUUUUGUGGGGAGCUCGUGUGGCGAACGGGUGAGUAACACGUGAGUAACCUCCCCUUGACUUUGGGAUAACUUCAGUAAACUCGGGCUCAUACCCGAUAUGAACACCUGCUGCAUGGUUGGGGUUGGUAAGAUUCGUCGGUUCGGGAUGGACUCGCGGCUUAUCAGCUUGUUGGUGGGGUAGUGGCUUACCAAGGCUUUGACGGGUAGCCGGACUGAGAGGGUGACCGGCCACAUUGGGACUGAGAUGCGGGCAAGACUCCUACGGGAGGCAGCAGUGGGAAAUAGUGCACAAUGGGCGGAAGCCUGAUGCAGCAACGCCGCGUGCGGGAUGACGGCCUGCGGGUUAUAAACCGCUUUCGCGUGUGACGAAGCGUGAGUGACGGUAAUGGGUAAAGAAGCACCGGCUAACUACGUG
rnacentral:rRNA from 1 species